GGAGUCCUGGUGGCCGCUCGCAGCCGGGAGAGGAACAUGGCGGGGCAGGGCAGGUGGAGGUGACAGCUGCACGGACUGCAGUGGCAUAGCUGAGGCAUGGAGAAGCCGUGUAACUUGCCCCAGCUCACAGAGGUAGGAGCAGAGAACAGAUUUGAACCCACGUCCUCUGGCCCCAGAGCCUAAAGUCUUAACCAUUUGACAACCCUGCCUUCUGGGAUUGAAGAAGAACAAAGCAGAGGUCUACAAAUGUGCGUGUAUUUCAGCAUUUCCCCCUGCAGAAAAGUAUUUCCAGCAGAAGAACCAGUUAGAGCAAAAGCGAAUACACCUGAAUUGCUCAAGGAACAGCAAGGAGAUGCCUGCGGCAGGAGCAGAAUGAAUGGAAGAAGUGGGAGGAGGAGGACAGAGCCUUGGAGGCCACGGAAAGGACUGUGGCUUCUGUGGGAAGCCGUUGGAUUGUUUGUUUGAUUGUUUGUUUUUAUUUUUGUUUUUUUACAUUUGGGAAAAACUUUAUUGGUCUUGAUGAAAUAUAGCACCAGUUUGAAGAACAAAAGAUGGUUAGGAUUAACCACCUUUUAAUCAACAGUA